CCCACGAGGUGCCCUCUCGCAGCGGAGCUGCGGGCGCUGCGGGCGGAGCUGGGCGCCCUGCAGGCAGGGCAGGCCGCGGAGCUGGGGCAGCUGGAGCGGGCGCUGGCGCUGGCGCAGGCGGAGCGGGCGGCGGCGGCGGCCGAGGCCGGGCAGCAGGCGGCGGAGGUCGCCCGGCUGCGGGACGAGGUGGCCGGGCUGCGGGCAGAGCUGCGGCAGGGGCAGGAGCUCCGCGCCCGGUACCGGCUGGAGGCCACCGCGCUGCGCGCCGAUGCCCGCCUGAAGGAGCAGCGGCACCGGUGUGCCACCGCCGAGGUGGCACGGCUCCAAGGUGCCCCGAGGGGCCGGGGGGCACCGAGGGUCCCCUCCCAGUGUCCCCCUACCCCGAGGACCCCGAGGACGCCCAGCCUCAGUACCUGGAGGGGACCCAGAGCCAGGAGACCACCGGCGGGCUCAAGCCCUUCAUCCUCUUUGUCGUGGCCUCCACCAUCAUCUUCCUCUACCCCUACCUGAAGCAGAGCUGAGACCCCGGCGGGCGUCCUGACCCCCCCACCCGGAGCACCCUGACCCCCCCCCAGAGCAAUACACCAGAUACCCCUC